CUCUAUGCACCAGCCUGUCUCAUGAAGUUGAAAACAUUAUGAAGAGGAUGAAAAUCUAGCUAACAAUCAAAACAGGAAAUAUGAUCAGGCUCAGCCACACCUUAAUGAACAUAAAGAGCUACUUCAUUCAAGGCAAUGAUAUGUUCUAACAGCUGAUUCAAUGAAAGAGGUUAUUGAACAAUCUCUGAAAACUGUCAAGUAAAGAGUCAGAGUGGUUGUAGAUACAUGCACAGAAAAUGAAGAAAAAACUCUACUGAAACCAUGGCUUAGAUAUCAACAUAAAAUAACUUCUUUUCUCAAGUAUAUCUCUUUCCCAAGUAUUCCAAAAGUGGAUCUUUUUCAAAUUCAAAGUUAAGUAUCACAGGGAGCAUUAGAGAUUGUGAAACAGUCUGCCUACAAAAAUUAAAAGGGAGGAAAACAUCUACAUGUGUACCAAAGAUGGUUGCACACUAUUGUUCUCUAUAUAUUUUCCUUAUGAUUUUCAUGUACAGUCUUCUGUGUGAUUGUUAAGUUGGGUGCAGUAGUAGACUUCUCCUAACCUUGUAUAGAAUUUUACAAUUUAAAUUCUGAGGAAAAAUCCUGUUUUAGUGUUCAUUCAGUUAUAGUAA